CCUACGGGUGGCAGCAGUGAGGAAUAUUGGUCAAUGGGCGGAAGCCUGAACCAGCCAAGUAGCGUGCAGGAUGACGGCCCUAUGGGUUGUAAACUGCUUUUAUACGGGAAUAACGCGCCUUACGCGUAGGGUUUCGCAUGUACCGGAUGAAAAAGGACCGGCUAAUUCCGUGCCAGCAGCCGCGGUAAUACGGAAGGUCCGGGCGUUAUCCGGAUUUAUUGGGUUUAAAGGGAGCGUAGGCCGGAGGUCAAGCGUGCCGUGAAAUGUGCGGGCUCAACCCUGGCCUUGCAGUGGAAACUGGCGUGCUUGAGUGCGCGAGAAGCAGGCGGAAUGCGUCGUGUAGCGGUGAAAUGCUUAGAUAUGACGAAGAACCCCGAUUGCGAAGGCAGCUUGCUGCAGCGGAACUGACGCUGAUGCUCGAAAGCGCGGGUAUCGAACAGGAUUAGAUACCCUAGUAGUC
rnacentral:rRNA from 1 species